rnacentral:rRNA from 1 species
UACGUAGGGGGCAAGCGUUGUCCGGAAUCAUUGGGCGUAAAGAGCGCGUAGGCGGCCCUGUAAGUCCGCUGUGAAAGUCAAGGGCUCAACCCUUGAAUGCCGGUGGAUACUGCAGGCUAGAGUCCGGAAGAGGCGAGUGGAAUUCCUGGUGUAGCGGUGAAAUGCGCAGAUAGUCAGGAGGAACACCGAUGGCGAAGGCAGCCUGCAGCUGGU